CCUACGGGAGGCAGCAGUGAGGAAUUUUCCGCAAUGAGCGAAAGCUUGACGGAGCAAUACCGCGUGGAGGACGAAGGCUCAUGGGUCGUAAACUCCUUUUCUUAGGGAAGAAUUUUGACGGUACCUAAGGAAUAAGCAUCGGCUAAUUCCGUGCCAGCAGCCGCGGUAAGACGGGAGAUGCAAGCGUUAUUCGGAUUUAUUGGGCGUAAAGGGUCUGUAGGUUGUUGGUUAAGUCUAUGGUCAAAUUCCGAAGCUCAACUUCGGGCCGGCACUAGAAACUAAUCAACUUGAGUACGUUAGAGGCAGGGGGAAUUCCCAGUGUAGCGGUGAAAUGCGUAGAUAUUGGGAGGAACAUCAAUGGCGAAGGCACCCUGCUAGGCCGAUACUGACACUGAAAGACGAAAGCUAGGGGAGCAAAUGGGAUUAGAUACCCCAGUAGUCCUAGCUGUAAACGAUGGGGACUAAACUUUGGUUUUAAGAAUCAGAGUUAAAGCUAACGCGUUAAGUCCCCCGCCUGGGGAGUACGCCCGCAAGAGUGAAACUCAAAKGAAUUGACGG
rnacentral:rRNA from 1 species